GGGGUGGUGGCGCAGUUGGCUAGCGCGUAGGUCAAACAUGCGAGUGAUCCUGAGGUCGAGAGUUCGAGCCUCUCUCACCCCA
rnacentral:tRNA from 1 species